rnacentral:tRNA from 1 species
UGAGAGCUGAAAUAGCAAUAAACUUUUAAUUUAUUAAUAGAAAAAUUUUUUUUCUUCUUGC